GAUUCUGACACUCAGAUUAAGUUUGGCAAUCACUGCACAGUGCUGCACUUUCCAGCCUCCUACUGGGGUGUGUCCACCUGCCCUAUAACCCACCUGCCACUUUCUUCGCACACUGCUAUGCAGAGACCCUGAAGAGCUGGCUGUGGCUGUAAGGAAACGGGGAGCAGAACAGAGAAGAGACGGGAUCUGAACUCUCAGCUGAAAUGAACUUCAAGAAGAAAAAUAAAUCGGCAGAGGUGGCUAACUACCGCCAUGCACACAGAGCGAGCACAUGGCUGAGAGCAGGGAUUUCGUUCUGGGCUGGGUUUAAGCCAGCCCAAGAAUGACUUCCAGUUACCCAGAUGGCCAUUGGCAGAGAAAAGAUCCCACAGCCCUGGACCGAUACAGCAUGCAGAAGUGCUGCUUCAGGACUUUCAAGCUCUCUGCUGUGGCCUGGGAAAGCAGUAGAAGAUGGCCCAAGUCUUUGAGCUCUUGCACCCAUGUGGGAGACCUGGAAGAAGCUCCUGGCUUUGGAUCAGCUCAGCUGCAGCCAUUGUAGCCAUUGCAGAGUGAACCAGCAGAAGGAAGACUCUCUCUCUCUCUCUCUGCCUCUCUGUAACUCUGCCCUUCAAAUAAAAUCUUUAAAUAAAAAAAUAAUAUCAUUGGGGACAUUCCCAUACCAUCUUGGCACUGGACAGUUCUGCAUAUACUCACCAGUCUCUGCCAGAACUUGCAACUCUCUGAGUGCCUUCCCCAAAGCUGCAAAAGCAGCUAACUUUGCAGGUGGAUGGGAUAAUGGGAGGGUGUAUUCUGCAUUGGCAUGAGGCUCCACUGGCCAGGAGAGAUCAUACCCAAUAGUUCACUCCUCAGUGACUUUCCUCUCCUCCUUGUCUCAUAUCCCAUAUCCCUUAUCAGCCUUUCCUAGGGUCACUUUCCAAGGCACUACUUCUAUUCUGUAAAACUCACGGAGCAGGCACAAGACAGAAGACAGAAAGGGUUAGAUGACAACGCUGGAGAAGCAGACAGGGACCUGACAUGGAGAGGCAGGGACUUGUGAAAGGAAACAGAGAAGUUAGUGGCAGAGCUGGAAUUCGACCUUGCUCCCAAGAGAGUGGGUCUAUCCAUCUCACUGGGCGGCAUUGCUGAAAAGUCAGCCAAGAAAAUCAGAACCGCAACCCGAGUGUGUGUCCCAGAAUUCGGAUGUUGGCCCCAGUGCCACUGUGCCAGGAUGUGGGGUAGCGGGAGGUGCUUGAGUCAGGGGGAUUCUGCCCUCGUGGAUGCACUACCACCAUCUCCCAGGAGCGAACAACUUCUCGCACUUGCAGGACUCAAUCAGUUAUCGCAAAAGCAGAGCCCAUGCCUUAGUUUUUGCCUUCCGCCCUUCUGCUUUCCACCGAGAGUUGAAACAACCCGAGUCCCUCACCAGAAGUGGAGCAGACACCAGCAUCCUGUCUUAGACGCCCCAGCCUCCAGAACCAAGGCAAAGUACGCCUCUCUGCUUGGGAAAUGACCCGGUCUCAGGCAAUCUGUUAUAGCGACAGAGAGUGGGCUGCGACAAUCACAAAUCAAAGUGCCCUCCAAGCAAUCUUGGCGAUUGCUCACCUGCUUUCUCGCCUCCCAUCUGGCAGCACCCCCCAGAGCAGGGUUCUGAUCCUGGAGCUGGAGCUGUCCACCCAGGAACAAAAACCAAGAUCUAUAGGAGGCAGGAGCGUUCAUCCAAGUAUGUCCACAGCAUCAGCUUCCAGGGGGAGCACAGAGCCCUGGAAGCCAAACAGACUGUAUCCAGCUGACACUUCCUGUUUGCUAGUUGUGCGAUUAAGGGCAAUUCCCUUCAUUUCUCUGUGCCUGUUGUGUAAAUACAGAGGGAGGACUGAACACACCGCAUUUGCUGGAUCGUUUCAGAAUAAAAUGCAUAAUGUGGAAAAGGACCUAGGUCGUGUCUGCUACAGUAGGGGUUCAGUAAUGACCAGUCUCCUCCUCCCUUGUCGCACACCUUCUCUCUUUCACAGCAGAACGAAACAUCAGGGAAAGAUGUAUUGGCCAAAUAAUGCGCUGCGUCUCUCUGGCGAUUCCCAGCCUACUUGCUUUGCAUGAUUAUUUCUACGAGGCUAAUACCUCAUUAUAAUAACACGGCACUCAAAUACCAGUGGGCCCAUAACCAGAGGCCCUGCUGAAAUAAAACCAUUAUAAUCAGGGCCCAGAUUGAAUCAUGGGCUAGUAGGCUCCCCAGUGGUUUGACCAAGAGCCAGGCAAUAGUCAAAUAAUCAAACUGCAGAUGCUGGGAUAGCAAAUUGGCUUACAUUUAAACAGUGGCAGAGACCCAAACUACAGUGGGGAGGAGAGAUGAGGAGGGGGCAAUGUAGACUUGUACAAUACUGGAAUUCCCCUUCCAUGCCUCCCUAGUUAAUUGGCCCGUAAAAUAACCAGGCUUGUUAAUGAACAACGGUCUCAUUCCUGGUAGGCACCUAGGUCAGGCUGUUGCUCUGAGCCUACAGCUUGUUGACUCUGCUUUUAGGGCCGAGAGGGAUCCCAGGGGUGAUGUGAAGGCAGAGACAUUAUGGUCUCUGGCCUAAUUAUUGCUCUUGGGCACUCAGCUACUUAAAAACAACAUCCUGGGGUCACAGAAUCAAUGAGAGGGAAGUAGAGAGAGACCUGAAGCGUAUGCAAUUUGGGAGUCCUGUUGGAGAAAAACAAGACAAAGCUAUGUAUCAGAAAUAUGAUCGCUUCUGGAGCACUACCUUGCAUGCAAGUGUGGUCAACUCUUCAGACUCAUCCCCGCCUCAGCUGCUUUCUGAACUCCAGCCUCAGAGAGACGCUCAAGCAGAAGACCCUACUAAGCCAGGCCCGGGUUCCUGACCCUCAAGGUUCUGAGAUAGUAAGUGUGUGUUUAAACCACUGCUUAUGGGAAUCUGUUACAUAGUAAUAGAAAGAUAAAAAAGGAAGACAGCAAGGUCAUUUUGGUAGUGGGGUGGAGCAAUCCCAGAAAUUCUCUUCUGCUACGGACUGCAACUUUCAUAGAAUCAUUGGAAAGAUUUGGAAGUCAUUUAAUCAAAUUGUCUGACUUUCAACUAAAAAGGAGACUUGUUUCAUUGCUAAAUAAUGAAAUUUUCUACUUAGUCAACAAAUUAUACUCAACUAGACAGUUGCUUGAGCUGGGUUUAAGGCAGAUUUUUCUUUCAAAACAUUCAUCAUCCCACUAUAUUGUAAUUUGUCUUCUGUUUACCAAUCUCUUUUCUACACUGAAGAAAAAUAUUAAAUUCAUUUUAGCCCCUACUUAAAAUAAUCCUAAUUUUUGGGUGUCAUUAAAACAGGUCUAUCUCAUCGAUCAGGUUUCACAACUCUCUUACUCUUAAAAGACAUCAUAGUCACACAGAGUUGGCGGGCACUUUGGUAGUCAAUCCAAGUUAGCUCAGUGGGCAAGUUGUGGCCAACCAGACAUAAAAGGAAAUAAUGUGUGCCACACCCCAAACACGUACUUAAAGAAAGUAGGAAUGCUCUUCUUUAGCCCUUCCUUUCUCAACAGAUGGAAUGCUAAGGGAAUGGCUGGAACUCAAACUCCCACAUUAGAUCAUGAGGUAGAAGUCAUAUACUGUAGAUAGAAGAACAUGGGCCAAUAGUGUGGUGUGGUGAGUCAAAUCGCCACCUGAAACACUGGCAUCUCAUAUGGGUACUGCUUCAAGUCCCAGCUGCUCCACUUCUGAUCCAGCUCCCUGCUAAUGUGCCUGGGAAAGCAGUGGAAGAUGGCCCAAGUACUUGAGUCCCUACACCCAUAUAGGAGAUCCAGAGGAAGCUCCUGGCUUUGGCCAUUUGGGGAGUGAACCAGCAGAUGGAAGGUGUGUGUGUGUGUGUGUGUGUGUGUGUCUGUAAACUCUGCCUUUCAAAUACAUAAAUAAUAAAAAAAAUAACAACAAAAUGAAGGAAGUGAAACUGGAAUUUGCAGAGCUGCCAAAUCAACCCUAACUAUACCUCUCUACACUCAUUUACAGUAGAAAGAAUUAAUCUUCUAUCUGGUUUACAUGACUAUUAUUUUCAAUUUGAAUUUGAGAUCACUCAAACAUGAACUAAUCCUGAAUAAUAGAUUGUUUUACUCCAUUGCUAAACUAAGGGACCUGAAACUCAGAGAUUAAGAAUAAAUCUAUAUUUGCUUCUUCCCAAAACUCACGUAUGGAAGCCCUAGAACUGAUGAUGGAGAGAGGGCAUCUGUGUAGAUAAUGAAGGUUAAGUGAGGUCGAAAGUUGGGGCUGGGUGAUCCUAUAGGAUUAGAGCCUUUAUAAGAAGAAUACCAGAGCGCUCACUUGCUCUCUUUCCGCCAUGCGAAGACACAGCAAGAUGGUGACCAUCUGUAACCCAGGAACAGGUCCCUCCCAAGAAAACAACCCUGCCAGAC